GGCUGGUCCGAAGGUAGUGAGUUACCUCAACUGAUUGUUCAGUCAGUUACAGAUCGAAAUCCUUCUUCUACUCUUUGCCCACUUCUCACUACCGCACUUGACUAGUCUUAA
ensembl:Y_RNA Y_RNA Y RNA